rfam:Gossypium hirsutum cultivar TM-1 chromosome 24, whole genome shotgun sequence
AAUCCAUGCAUCAGACAUUUUCUGAUUAACUCCUUAAAUCGUUCCUAAGCUUCAUAUAGCAUCUCAUCUUCAAAUUGCCAGAAAGAUGUAAUAUCAUUUCUCAACUU